CGUAAUUCUAACAAAACCAAAAGACACAGGCCACGUAUGCAAAGCAAGAUGGAAGUUAAAGGCAGGGCAGCACUCCCUCUCUCGCAUGGUCCAAGGGCACAGUGAAAAUCUUUAGUCAGCAGUGAGGUUAGCUAGCGCUACUCAGGAAACUGGGCCAAUAAAACUAGUAACUAGGAGUGGCAAGAGCAGAAAUACUAUUGGGGGAGGGGGACUUGUAAUUCCCAACAAUCGAGAGGCAACCAGGAAGUCAUGGAGACGGAAAGUCUUGGAACUGGACGAUCUGGAACAUAACUCACUGCGCCACGUGUGGCACGGGGUGGUCACAAAAACAGCAGCCUCACAAGUUUAACCCCCAAGUCACAGAACGACGGUCACAUGGUGCCUAUUGUACCUCAUGCAGAAAAGCAUUUGCACUCCGAACUGCAAUAAAUAGCAGCCCUUUAGCGAAUGCCGCCCCACCCAGUGCCACCUAAAGAGGAAGCCCCCCCCCCCGAUUAGUGGUCGUUUCAACAUGAGCAAAAAAGUACAAAAACUCCAACAAGUAGCGGAGAACUAUACCCAGUAACCCCAUACAAGUGUAAAAGUUGGACAAAGGAUUACAAUGAAAAAUCCACAGCCUACAACGUCGGACCUACUCCUCCGCUGCAGACAGUACGAGUUUCCCACGCCCCCAAAUUCUAAGUCGGCCAGAGAAAAUUUGACUUUCCAGUACAAACGAGGGACUGCGGGUUGAGCUGUCAAAUUUCAAAUAAAGGAUGAUACUCUCUUCUACAA